rnacentral:rRNA from 1 species
GUGUCAGCAGCCGCGGUAAUACAGAGGCCUCGAGCGUUAGGCGGAAUCACUGGGCUUAAAGCGUGUGUAGGUGGAUGCCUAAGUACCUUGUGAAAUCCCACGGCUUAACCGUGGAACUGCUGGGUAUACUGGGUGUCUUGAGCCACUCAGGGGCUACCGGAACAAAUGGUGGAGCGGUGAAAUGCGUAGAUAUCAUUUGGAACGCCAAUGGUGAAAACAGGUAGCUGGGGGUGUGCUGACACUGAGACACGAAAGCCAGGGGAGCGAACGGGAUUAGAAACCCCUGUAGUCC